UGUAACUCUGUGCAAGUUUCUGGACCCAGACCUUAAGAGAUGGUAGUUUCCACCAGCUGACUCUCAGAGUACCCCCUCUGGGAGUUCUAUAAUAUCAAGUAAGAAGCCUGAAUACCUGAGACUACCAUGCUGAAGAGGCCAAAAGUAGGCAUUUUUCUUGACAGCCCUAGUUGAGUCCAGCCUUCUAGCCAUGACUGCCAAGUCACUGAGAACACAAGUGGAACCAUCUACUACCAUAUGGACCAGCCAACCUAGCAGCAGACUACACUACCGACUGGGCUCAGUCAAUGCAGAACAGAAGAAUCACCCAAAGGGGUCCUGCUCGAAUGCUUGAUCUACAAAAUUGCCUACUGUGUUCCUGAGCCUACAGAAAGCCUUCAGACGGGAGUCCAGUGUGUGCAGUAAGAAGCUGAGGGGAUGCACAGAAACGUGCUACAGAAAUCUGGGAGAGCUGACUCUGGUAAGAAUUCUAACCCUUUGCCGACUUCUGCUAGACUUCCCAGGAUUUCAUCUGUAGGCUCCCAG
rnacentral:lncRNA from 1 species